GACGGGGGGGGCAAGUGCUCUUCGGAAUGACUGGGCGGAAAGGGCACGUAGGCGGUGAAUCGGGUUGGAAGUGAAAGUCGCCAAAAAGUGGCGGAAUGCUCUCGAAACCAAUUCACUUGAGUGAGACAGAGGAGAGUGGAAUUUCGUGUGUAGGGGUGAAAUCCGUAAAUAUACGAAGGAACGCCAAAAGCGAAGGCAGCUCUCUGGGUCCCUACCGACGCUGGGGUGCGAAAGCAUGGGGAGCGAACAGG
rnacentral:rRNA from 1 species